rnacentral:rRNA from 1 species
CUGGUUGAUCCUGCCAGUAGUCAUAUGCUUGUUUCAAAGAUUAAGCCAUGCAAGUCUAAGUAUAAGUCUUUAUACGACGAAACUGCGAAUAGCUCAUUACAACAGUUAUAAUCUACACGACGAUCAUUACUAAACGGAUAUCCAUGGUAAUUCUGGAGCUAAUACGUGCAAAAACACCUGACUUUUCGGAAGGGUGGCAUUCAUUAGUGACUCAGAACCAAUCGCUUCGGCGUUUCUGGUGAUCAUAAUGACGGAGUGGACCACAUUUUAUGUGGCAGUUCGUUCGAGUUUCUGACCUAUCAGCUCCCGUCGGUAGGGUAUUGGCCUACCGAGGCUUUGACGGGUAACGGGGAAUUAGGGUUCGAUUCCGGAGAGGGAGCCUGAGAAACGGCUACCACAUCUAAGGAUGGCAGCAGGCGCGCAAAUUACCCAAUGCCGAUUCGGCGAGGUAGUGACCAGAAAUAGCAACGCAGGGCGUUUAGUUCUGUGAUUGCAAUGGGCGAAAUGCAAAACUGUUUGCGAGUAUCUAUUGGAGGGCAAGUCUGGU